AGAGUAGAAGCUGGCUGGCUGUGCUGAAUACAUGCAGUCGAGCGAAUGGAUUAAGAGCUUGCUCUUAUGAAGUUAGCGGCGGACGGGUGAGUAACACGUGGGGAACCUGCCCAUAAGACUGGGAUAACUCCGGAAAACCGGGGCUAAUACCGGAUAACAUUUUGAACCGCAUGGUUCGAAAUUGAAAGGCGGCUUCGGCUGUCACUUAUGGAUGGACCCGCGUCGCAUUUAGCUAGUUUGGUGGGGGUAACGGGCUCACCAUGGCAACGAUGCGUAGCCGACCUGAGAGGGUGAUCGGCCACACUGGGACUGAGACACGGCCCAGACUCCUACGGGAGGCAGCAGUAGGGAAUCUUCCGCAAUGGACGAAAGUCUGACGGAGCAACGCCGCGUGAGUGAUGAAGGCUUUCGGGUCGUAAAACUCUGUUGUUAGGGAAGAACAAGUGCUAGUUGAAUAAGCUGGCACCUUGACGGUACCUAACCAGAAAGCCACGGCUAACUACGUGCCAGCAGCCGCGGUAAUACGUAGGUGGCAAGCGUUAUCCGGAAUUAUUGGGCGUAAAGCGCGCGCAGGUGGUUUCUUAAGUCUGAUGUGAAAGCCCACGGCUCAACCGUGGAGGGUCAUUGGAAAACUGGGAGACUUGAGUGCAGAAGAGGAAAGUGGAAUUCCAUGUGUAGCGGUGAAAUGCGUAGAGAUAUGGAGGAACACCAGUGCGAAGGCGACUUUCUGGUCUGUAACUGACACUGAGGCGCGAAAGCGUGGGG
rnacentral:rRNA from 1 species